rnacentral:rRNA from 1 species
AUUGAACGCUGGCGGCAUGCCUUACACAUGCAAGUCGAACGGCAGCACGGGGCAACCUGGUGGCGAGUGGCGAACGGGUGAGUAAUGCAUCGGAACGUACCUUUCAGUGGGGGAUAACGUAGCGAAAGUUACGCUAAUACCGCAUAUUCUGUGAGCAGGAAAGCAGGGGAUCGCAAGACCUUGCGCUGAUUGAGCGGCCGGUGUCAGAUUAGCUAGGUGGGGAGGUAAGGGCUCACCAAGGCGACGAUCUGUAGCGGGUCUGAGAGGAUGAUCCGCCACACUGGAACUGAGGCACGGUCCAGACUCCUACGGGAGGCAGCAGUGGGGAAUUUUGGACAAUGGGGGCAACCCUGAUCCAGCCAUGCCGCGUGAGUGAAGAAGGCCUUCGGGUUGUAAAGCUCUUUCGGCCGGGAAGAAAUCGCACGGGCUAAUACCCUGUGUGGAUGACGGUACCGGAAUAAGAAGCACCGGCUAACUACGUGCCAGCAGCCGCCGUAACAC